AGGUGGGCACUCCUGAGACUGCAGAGUGGAAGAGACCACCAACACUGCCCACCCCUGCCCACAUCCCUGGCCCAACAGGAAACUGUAUAUGGCCUCUGGGUUCCCUUGGGUAAGGGCACAGGAGCAGGAAAUCCGCUGCCUCUCAGACACCGCCAGAACCUGAAGGGACCGACCAGAUAAACAGUUCUCUGCACCCAAAUCCCGUGGGAGGGAGAGCUAAACCUUCAGAGAGGCAGACACACCUGGGAAACCAGAAGAGUCUACACUCGGCCCACAUCUCUGACUCCAGAGGAAAACACCAAACGCCAUCUGGAACCCUGGUGCAUGGAAGCUCCUGGAAAGGGCGGUGCAGAUCUUCCUGGUUGCUGCCGCCGCUGAGAGCUCAUAAGCAAACUUGAGCCUUGGGACCACAGGUAAGACAAACCUUCCAGCUCCAAGUGACCUGCCUGGCGAACUCAAGACACAGGCCCACAGGAACAGCUGAAGACCUGUAGAGAGGAAAAACUACACGCCCGAAAGCAGAACACUCUGUCCCCAUAACUGGCUGAAAGAAAACAGGAAAA
rnacentral:lncRNA from 1 species